AGUUAGUGGAUCACUUCAAUCUCCCAGAUUCAGGGAGGGGAUGAAGACGCUUGGUGUUCUUGAUGCAGUAAGAAAGCACCCAGAUGCUUUCAGACCACUGUUUUGUCACAAGCCAUCCCCACACACAGCUGAUGUACUAGAACAGGUCUUUGAAAUUUGACUGUCAGCAGUGGGCAUCAACAAGAAGGGCAGAGGAAUGUGUGGUUGCAUUUUGGAGGGACUACCUGCUGGAUGUUGAGGAUAACAAGAGGGACCCUUGCAACUUUGGUAUCCUGGCCUUUGCAACGGGAACAAAUGCAAUUCCACCCAUGGGCUUCUCUCCCGAUCUUCA